rnacentral:rRNA from 1 species
UCCGUAGGUGGAUAAUUAAGUCAGAGGUGAAAUCCUGCAGCUCAACUGUAGAAUUGCCUUUGAUACUGGUUAUCUUGAGUCAUUAUGAAGUGGUUAGAAUGUGUAGUGUAGCGGUGAAAUGCAUAGAUAUUACACAGAAUACCGAUUGCGAAGGCAGAUCACUAAUAAUGUACUGACACUGAGGGACGAAAGAGGGGGGAGCGAACAGGAUUAGAUACCCUGGUAGUC